UCUAAUUUUCAGACUGAAUUCAGCCUAACCUAGUCAAUAUGCAUGAAUAAUUUUUUCAGUACAGUAUCUUAAGUUCAGUAGUUGCAGCAGCUAAAAAUUGUUAAAUGUGAAUGAGAGAAGUCAUUUCAUUUAAUUUUUUUAGAUACUUGAGAAAUUAAUCUAAAGAAGAUCAUUGGUCAACUAAAUUUAGUACGCAAGUUCACGAUGGCGCCUCGAAAAGUCAGUAAAGGAGCCGCAUCUAAAUCCAACGAGACUCCUAAGAAGAGAGUGGCUGCCAGUGGAUACAAGCUCCCUGAUCCAAUACCUGAAGGCCAGGUUAUCACUGACAUUGCAAAAAAUGUCUGGGUUCUUGGAAAGAGCAUAGGCCAGGGUGGGUUUGGCGAGAUAUACCUAGCAUCAAACGAUUCAUCCCGUGUUGUGACUGAUGGUGACAAGUUUGUGGUGAAGGUUGAACCUCACAGUAAUGGGCCGCUGUUUGCUGAGAUGCAUUGCUACAUGCGGAUUGCUAAACCUGAGCUCAUUGAUGCCUGGAAGAAGGAAAGGAAGCUCAAGCGGCUUGGUAUGCCCAAGUACCUUGGAUCCGGCUCCUUCAUAUACAAGUCGCAGAAGUACCGUUUCAUGGUCAUGGAGAGGUUUGGCUCUGAUCUGCAGAAAAUUUUGGAGAAGCUCAAUAAGAAGUUCUCUUUCAAGACUGUCUUCCAAAUUGGACUCGAAAUUCUUGAUGUGCUUGAGUACAUCCAUGACAAGGGCUACAUCCAUGCUGACAUCAAAGCUUCCAAUUUGCUGGUUGGAUUUCAAAGAGGAACGGAAAACCAAGUGUUUCUUGUUGACUAUGGCCUCGCAUGUCGCUAUGCCAUCAAUGGUCAACACAAAGAGUACAAGUAUGAUGCAAGGAAGGCGCAUGAUGGCACCAUUGAGUUCACUUCUCGAGACGCCCAUAUUGGAGCGCACUCGCGAAGAGGAGACCUGGAAAUUCUAGGCUACAACAUGACGCAGUGGCUGUGCUCACGCCUGCCUUGGGAAGACAACCUCACUGACUGCGACUAUGUGGCCAAGAGCAAACGAUGGUACAUGGACAACGUGGACAAGCUUAUGGACAAGUGCUUCCCUGAUGGUGUGCCGCCUGGUUUGUUUGAGUACCUGUCCUACGUAGCAAGUCUGACGUUCGACGAGCUGCCUGACUAUGAGAAGUGCCGCGACAUUCUCAGGGCUGGCUUAGUAGACCGCGGCUACAAGGAUGAUGGCAAAUUAGUGUUCAUGGCUGCGACUCCCAAGCCAGUCUCGAAGAAACCCAAAUCGAGGGUGAACAAGGGCGUGAAGCGACGGCGGUCUGACGAAGAAGAGAAUAUCGGGCUCUCCCCCAACAAGAUUGUCCGCACGUCACCUCGGUCUCCGUGCAAGUCAUCUACUAACAGAAUCAAUACAAGAUUGUGCCCUCGCAAGUCGUACUUAGGCCUGAGCCUGAGCACGGUGGCUUUACCAGCCCUGCACUUCACUGACCCCGAGGAUAUAAUCAUUGAGAAAGAGAACGAGAAGAUGCUGGAGCGCCAGAAACAAAUGAGGCCCAAGAGAAUGGUUCUGAAGAAAGACACGUCGCUGGAUAACCCAACACCUCAGAUGUUGGCGCUCAUGGCUAAACGUCGAGAAAAGAGUCUUUCGCCCCCCAUGUGUAAUAAAAGACAUAAGCAUAAAUUAGGCAAAACUACUCCAACUUUCGAUGACACACCCACGGACUUGACGCCAGAAAUGGAGUCUAUUAUACGGCGACGUGAGGAACGUGAAGCUGCCGAGCGAGCAGCCAAACACAGGGAACGCCUCGUCGACAUUGAAGCUCGUCGGUCUCUAAACGACACCGCCAACCUGGACGUGUCGGUGCUGUGCGUGUCAGAAGUGAGUGCCCGGGACCGGAGGUAUCAGGCUCGGUUACAGGAGCCCUCGCCUCCCGUCAUCGCUGUCGACGAUCUCGAGAACUCCAACGACGGCUUCCUUGCUUCCCCGCCGUGCUGUGAUACGCCAAAACCUUCUGCUGUCACCAACCAUAAUAACAACUCUCUUAAACAAUCAAAAUCCAGCACUGACAACGAAGAAGAAAGUCAAAGUGUUGAACGUCGUGUAUGCUCAAAGGUUCUUGAAAAUAUUGAAGUUGUGAAGAAAAAGUUCAUAAAUUCUACGAAGAAAUCCGCCAAUAACACACCAGAGAGAAGAAGUAGCGUUUCAAAGACAGAGUCUAAAAAGAGAAAUAGGCAAUCGGUCUUGAAUGAUUCUGAAUCAAGUCCUGCCUUGACAGAUUUGUCUAGCAAGCGCCGGAGAUUGGGACGGAAAUCGAGCGUGCGAAACGAUUUAGUGGAACCAAACUUAACCUUUGGGGGCACUCGGGCUUGUGCUGAUUCCACAUCUAAGAGGGCUAAGAGAAAAUCAGCUAUCUUUGCUCGAGAUCUCAUCUCUAAAUUCAUCUUCCCUCGUUAAUAUUUUUAAAGAGAAGUGAAUGGAAUGGUUGAUUCUUAACCAAUGUUUUUUUAGACAUUUGACUUCAGAGAUUCAAAUUUAUCAAAAUUUUAAGUUGAACCGCUAGCACCGCGCGUUUACGGUGCUAGAAUCAAAGUUUGUUUAAAUUUGGCAGCAUCCAAACUGAUAUUUUAUUUUAAGUGCGGACCUAAACCCUUUGCCUACAGAGAGUGACUAAGUUACCAAGCAUUAAGACGAAAAUAGCACUGACGGUAGUUAAUGUAUCUGUAGACACAGGGUUGGAAGACUUUUAUAGCGCUAGAAGCGUCAAGUUCUUAUGUGAUUCAUAUUUCGUCUCGAGGCUUUUUAUCAAUGGACAAGAUUUAAUAACUUUGUUCGACCUAGUUGAACUGAGCGGUUAUGGUUACAGUUAAUUAGGGAUGGGUAGACCAGCGAUACAACUGGUGAGAUGAUGACGUUAUUUAUGUGAAUUAUUUAUUGAUAUCCCACUAUUGUUAAUGUGAAAUAGGGAUUUUAUAUCGCUAUUUUUUCACUGACGAGCACAUGAAGCUGAAGCCUGUACUGCGACAUUGAAAUUAUGAUAAUGACGUCGAAAGUAGUUGAGGAUGUCUGUGCAUUUAAUGUAAAAGAGAAGAAAUUUUACGAAUAAAUAAUUAAAACUUUUGCUUACGUUUUCAAGUUGAACGAUUCCUCAAAUGCAAAUGGAUGCCUUUCUAAGCUUAGAAUUAAACCUGUUUUAUUAGCCGGAAAAAUUGCUGGAAACCCUUGUCGAGCAUACUUGAAUCAUGCACAACAUCUGCGUCAUGAUUUUAUGUAGUGACGCUUCAGCACUAGAUGGUACGCGAGUGAGCUUAGGUUGAUCUCACGAUCUUGCUGUCUUGGGUUUGGUUUUGUACAGGUUGACAAAGAGCGUUUUCCUAUACAGGGUUUCGUGGUAGGAAUUUGUUAAGAAGGCAUUUCCCAAUGCACAGCUUCAUAAUGGGAGAGAACAUUUUGCUCUACUUGAAAAUUUUUCCCGAAACGCUUGCUUUGGAAAAUUUGCUCCUGAUUUCAUCGAGUUUGCUGUUGAAGAAUCCAGGAAAAAUCCUCGUUUCGACUGUAAUUUUAGGAUUCAAGCUUAAGUCCUCGCCCUAACGGUCGACGUAAGGCAGUGGAAUCUUCUGACAACAAUCGCAGCAAUACAAAGAAAC
rnacentral:misc_RNA from 1 species